CCAUUCCGAGAGUAGCAACAAUCGCCUCUAACAUGUUCUAGCUGUAGUUGGUAUUGGUAUUGGUAAUGAUGUAAUCCGUUAGAUUUUUUAAAAUAAUUCUCACAACGUUGCAUUGUCUGUCCCUGUUAGAGGCGCGGCGAGAGGCGAGAGGCGCGGGCGGCGGGCUCCGGCCACAGAAUGUAGGCAAGUGUGACAAGGACACGCCCGUACUCCGCGCUAACACUUCCAUCCAGUUUCUAACGUGCUCGGUGCGCGUUUCGCAACGCUCGCCCGCGCCCGGCCCCACUUCGCCGAUGCACAGUGCACACUCGUGAACGAUUACACCUACCUACAAGGGCAAACCAGUUUGCAAAAUCCAGAUAAAGAGAUUUUGCAAGGCGGCGAGCGGCCAUUAGAAAUGCAGCGGCAGCGGCCUUCCUACCGGCUUGUGGCGAGGUGAGCCGCUACCUCAAGGCAAAAUCAUUGAUAUUUUGUUAAUUUAAUUCCCUGCUCUUUUAUCCCAAUUGUUUUAUAAAUUCUGAACACUUUUC